UACGAAGGGCAAGCGUUGUUCGGAUUUUACUGGGCGUAAAGGGCACGCAGGCGGUCUUGCCAGUCAGGGGUGAAAGCCCCGGGGGCUCAACCCCGGAACUGCCUCUGAUACUGCAGGACUAGAGACUAGGAGAGGGUGGUGGAAUUCCCAGUGUAGAGGUGAAAUUCGUAGAUAUUGGGAGGAACACCAGAGGCGAAGGCGGCCACCUGGACUAGAUCUGACGCUCAGGUGCGAAAAGCGUGGGGAGCAAAACAGG
rnacentral:rRNA from 1 species